UACGUAGGUGGCAAGCGUUGUCCAGAUUUACUGGGCGUAAAGAGCGCGCAGGCGGUCGUUCAAGUCGCGUGUGAAAGCCCCCGGCUCAACUGGGGAGGGUCACGCGAUACUGAUCGACUGGAAGGCAGGAGGGGGUAGUGGAAUUCCCGGUGUAGUGGUGAAAUGCGUAGAUAUCGGGAGGAACACCAGUGGCGAAGGCGACUACCUGGCCUGUUCUUGACGCUGAGGCGCGAAAGCUAGGGGAGCAAACGGG
rnacentral:rRNA from 1 species